AAGCAUAUCAAUAAGCGGAGGAAAAGAAACCAACAGGGAUUGCCCCAGUAACGGCGAGUGAAGCGGCAACAGCUCAAAUUUGAAAUCUGGCUCUCAGGGCCCGAGUUGUAAUUUGUAGAGGAUGCUUUUGGCGAGGUGCCUUCCGAGUUCCCUGGAACGGGACGCCACAGAGGGUGAGAGCCCCGUAUGGUCGGACACCGAGCCUCUGUAAAGCUCCUUCGACGAGUCGAGUAGUUUGGGAAUGCUGCUCAAAAUGGGAGGUAUAUGUCUUCUAAAGCUAAAUAUUGGCCAGAGACCGAUAGCGCACAAGUAGAGUGAUCGAAAGAUGAAAAGCACUUUGAAAAGAGGGUUAAAAAGUACGUGAAAUUGUUGAAAGGGAAGCGCCUAUGACCAGACUUGCGCCCGGUGAAUCACCCAGCGUUCUCGCUGGUGCACUUUGCCGGGCACAGGCCAGCAUCAGUUCAGCGCGGGGGAGAAAGGCUUCGGGAAUGUGGCUCCCUCGGGAGUGUUAUAGCCCGCUGCGUAAUGCCCUGCGCCGGACUGAGGUACGCGCAUUGCAAGGAUGCUGGCGUAAUGGUCAUCAGCGACCCGUCUUGAAACACGGACCAAGGAGUCGUCUUCGUAUGCGAGUGUUCGGGUGUCAAACCCCUACGCGUAAUGAAAGUGAACGCAGGUGAGAGCUUCGGCGCAUCACCGACCGAUCCUGAUGUUCUCGGAUGGAUUUGAGUAAGAGCAUACGGGGCCGGACCCGAAAGAAGGUGAACUAUGCCUGUAUAGGGUGAAGCCAGAGGAAACUCUGGUGGAGGCUCGCAGCGGUUCUGACGUGCGAAUCGAUCGUCAAAUAUGGGCAUGGGGGCGAAAGACUAAUCGAACCUUCUAGUAGCUGGUUUCCGCCGAAU
rnacentral:rRNA from 1 species